rnacentral:lncRNA from 1 species
ACUGCUGGCCCCUGCAUGGGGACAUUGGGGACAGUGAACUGCUGGCCCCUGUAUGGGGACAUUGGGGACAGUGAACUGCUGGCCCCUGCAUGGGGACACGGGGACAUUGGGGACAGCAGGGACACUGGAGACACUGGGACACUGGACACCAGUGAGAAGUCCUUGGUGACACAGGACAGAGACACCAGGGACAGGACAGGGGACACAGGGGACACAGGAGAGGGGACACAGGGGACACAGGGGACACAGGGGACACAGGCAAGAGCCUGGGACAUUCCCAGCCCUGGAUCCAGGAUUGUCCCCAGGAUUGUCCCCCCAGAUUGUUCCCUGGGAUUGUCCCCCCAGGACUGUCCCCAGGAUUGUCCCCAGCCUGCCCCAGGAUUGUCCCCAGGAUUGUCCCCAUUGUGUCCCCACUGUGUCCCAGCCUGUCCCCAUUGUGUCCCUCCCUGUCCCCCCCCGUCCCC